rnacentral:rRNA from 1 species
UUCCGGUUGAUCCUGCCAGACCCGACUGCUAUCAGAGUAGGACUAAGCCAUGCGAGUUAACGUAGCAAUACGUGGCAUACGGCUCAGUAACACGUAGUCAACAUGCCCAGGGGACGUGAAUAACCUCGGGAAACUGAGGAUAAACCGCGAUAGGUCACGAUUUCUGGAAUGAUUCAUGGCCGAAAUCUAUAUGGCCCCUGGAUUGGACUGCGGCCGAUCAGGCUGUUGGUGAGGUAAUGGCCUACCAAACCUGUUACCGGUACGGGCUCUGAGAGGAGGAGCCCGGAGAUGGGCACUGAGACAAGGGCCCAGGCCCUAUGGGGCGCAGCAGGCGCGAAACCUCUGCAAUGGGCGAAAGCCUGACAGGGUUACUCUGAGUGGUUUCCGCUAAGGGAACCUUUUGGCACCUCU